AGGUUACUUUGGCAACAUAAUACUUCAAUUGACUAAUUUAAAAUAUUAGAUGCUAAAAAAACAUUAGUUCCUUAAGCCAUAUUAUGAAUCUAAACUUAAUAUAUUACAUGUUUUGACAUGCAACAUCUGAAUAUUAAUUGUUUUAGACUUAGUUGGACAAUUCCAAAAUCUGAAGUUUGAUGGACUAAAACAAUUAAUAUUCAAAACUUAAAUAUUAAUGUAUAAUACAUUAAUAAUUUCAAAAAAAAAAUUGAC
rnacentral:lncRNA from 1 species